rnacentral:tRNA from 7 species
GGGCAAGUGGCCGAGUGGCUGAAGGCGCUCCCCUGCUAAGGGAGUAUAGGGUGACAAGCCCUAUCGAGGGUUCGAAUCCCUCCUUGCCCGCCA